UACAGAGGUCUCAAGCGUUGUUCGGAUUCAUUGGGCGUAAAGGGCGCGUAGGCGGCCACCGCAAGUCGGUUGUGAAAUCUCCGGGCUUAACCCGGAAAGGUCAAUCGAUACUGCGGGGCUAGAGUGCAGAAGGGGCAACUGGAAUUCUCGGUGUAGCGGUGAAAUGCGUAGAUAUCGAGAGGAACACCUGCGGCGAAGGCGGGUUGCUGGGCUGACACUGACGCUGAAGCGCGAAAGCUAGGGGAGCGAACGGG
rnacentral:rRNA from 1 species